rnacentral:misc_RNA from 1 species
AUGACAACUCACCUACCGAGCACAUCUCAAAAUGGCGAAGAGAUAUCUGCUGAGCAAUUCAACAGGAUAUUUCACGAACGCAACGUCAUCGUUCUGGAUUGUCGAUCAAAUGGUGAUUCAGUGAAACGAGCCAAUCGAUUCUUUUGCAGUCUUCGAUUACCGGCUCUCCUUCAACGCCGUUUAAUGGGCGGUUCAAUGCGACUUUCAACAGUACCUGAUCUGAAGGAUCUGAAUAAUUCUCCUGAUCAAUGUCCCGAAGUUCUUCUCAUCCCCGGCGACAGUGAACAAGACGAGCAGCUCUCGGCAGCUUUAGCUCGAAAUCUGAAAUCCAACCACUAUCGUCAUUUUGUGCUCGGCGAGCCUGUCAAGACACUUCUCUCCCAGUUUCCGACCCUUCGUGAUGCAGCCGACGAAAAUUGGAACACCACGUUUCAAAUGAACUCGAUGCCGGGUCAAGCAAGUGGGCAACAAGCAUCAAGUGGACCGCUUCUUAACUUAAACCAACUCCGAUUGGAAGGUGAAGAUCAAGGCGGAAAACAACGUGCAGAGUUUCCUGUAAAGUUAACCAAUUUCUUGUAUCUUGGAAACGCGGAGACCGCUAAAAAUCGAGAUGUUCUUAAAAAGUGACACUAUUAUUCGAUAUUAUAUAUAUUCUUAACAAAAAACCCAAUUUUCAGAUAUUCUAUCUCACAUGUAAUAAAUGUCACAUCAAAUUUGCCAAACACGUUCGAAGAAGACCCAAAUAUGCGAUAUUUAAGAAUAUCGGCCGAUGAUAACGCUUCACAUAAUCUAACAAAAUUCUUCCCUGAAGCCAUAUCCUUCAUUGAUGAUGCGCGACGCAACGAUUCAGCAUGUCUUGUGCAUUGUCUGGCUGGAAUUUCCAGAAGCGUUACAAUAUGUCUGGCGUAUCUCAUGAAGACUGAAAUGUGUACUCUUGAUUCUGCCUACGAAUGGGUUCAAAAGAGAAAUGCAAGCAUUGCUCCAAAUUUUCAUUUUAUGGGACAACUCACAGACUACGAGAAGAUGUUGGGAUUGAAUAGCAAUCGAGUCGGGACAUAUCCUUCCUCGGCUCCUCGUUCUCCAUCUUGUGCCAUCGAAGCAGCAGCAGUAUCACAAGUUGGAGGCCUUCUAACUCCACCACCAACAAGCUGUUCGGCGUCACCUCAAUCGAGUAAUCACUCGGCAAAGUCAUUUCACUAG